rnacentral:hammerhead_ribozyme from 1 species
AUUCAGCUGACGAGUUUGAAAUAAGGCGAAACGCGCUUCAAACUGGAU